CCUUCUUCUUCCAAGGCCUCCUCUCUGCAGAAGCUGAGAUCACUGUAUCUGACACUUACUGAUGCAGGUGUCUACACGAGCUACCAGACAGUGAGACGCUCCAAGAGCUCUGCCUCUGUCAAGACAAAAAGAGAAGAGAUCAGCCGUGUUAAUCUCUCAGUCCAGGGCAUGGAAUUCACCAGAGCUGCACAGAUUGUUGCUGGGAUCCUCUUCCACUCCUCCAUAAUGACAUCACGGAGCUGCUGGAUGUUAGGCACAUGGCGCUUCUCCACCUUCCUCUUGAGGAUGCCCCACAGGCUGCAUUGGUUAAGCUUAUGGGGCUGUUACGUGAUGAACGAAUCGUUCAAGAAUGACCAGCGGAGAGUAAGAGGGUGUUUACAGAUUUCUUUCCUGCUGUUCUAAAGGAAAUUUCCACACACUCCUCCAGACAGUAUCAGGGCAUCAUGACCUCCGUUUUUUCCAUUUGCAUCGUAUUGGGCUCCAUGUGUGUGUGCCUCCUCUCUGCAGAAUCUGAGAUCACUGUAUCUGGCCAAGUGGGGUCUACAGCUGUCCUGCCGUGUGAACUGCAGCGUGUAGGCACUGAAACACCGUAUAUUAGGUGGCGCAUCGAAUCUGAGAUUGUGUUUGAGCGAUCGGGUGAGGAGAGCGAUCAGGGUGAGGGAUAUGAGGACCGUGUGGACGUCCCUGAAGAAGAGCUGCGUAAGGGGAACUGUUCCUUAGUGUUGCGCAAUCUGUCACUUACUGAUGCAGGUGUCUACACGAGCUACCAGAUAGUGAGACACACCGAGAGAUCUGCCAUUCCAAAAACAGAAGAGAUUAGCCGUGUUAAUCUCUCAGUCUAUGAAAAACCUCCUGAAAAGAGAACUGAAAUUCCCACAGAUGAUGCAGGAAUGAAGUGUCCUCACCCACCGAUCAUGGUCUUGUCCCUCAUAUCAUGUUUACUCCUCCAGUUCUUCUUUGCGUAAACCUGAGUGUGAAUUAGUGGUGCACAGGACUGUCUUUAUGCCUCCAGCACCACGUGGUGGAAGUGUUAUGUUUUUGGGUUGCGUUGUUGCGCCUGUCACUCUGUGUGUUACCUUUCAGAAGGUCAGAGCCAAAGCAUAUAGGGAGGGUCAGACAAAGAUCAAUCCUAAUGACCCCCAUAAAGGGUACAGGAAAGAGAGAAAAGAAAUGUACCCUGUCCACUUUAGGGUUACAGGAACCCAGCCCUGGAGCCAGGCCACAGGCAAGCGUCUGGUGACUGGGCCCCCCACAUAACCCAGUCGCUCUCAUCCUGAAAUGCUGAUGUGGAGCCAUUAUGUGGCAUUAGUUUUACGUCUGACUUACAACUCUGACUGGAGAUUCCUUCCAUAAAUAUUAAGAAGUUACAGCAGAUGUAAAAACAUUUGAUGCUUGUGAGUUUUUUGCUGGAUGCCACUGGAGCCCAGUCGUGAUGCACAGCUCUAAUGUGACUUGUUUAUUGUGACCUGUGGGAACAGUAGGAUGCCAUUUCAGACAUGGAAAAAGUGUACAUAGCUAAGGCCAAAUCCCAAAUAGCUUCCUACUCUUUACAUAGCUGCACAACAAUGAGUUGUACACAAACACAAAUAUAUUUAGACCAGUUUUAAACAUAACUGGAAGAUAUAAGAAUGUAUAUUGAAUCUAUCUUCUGUACUGCUUAAUAAGGUGUAGUGACACAAGUUACAUUUUUGUUGCAGAUGGUUUGAUGAUAUUGCUUUUGGCAGUGCUGUCCGACAGCUACAUAGACGCUUAAUUUCAUUAACUUCAUUACACAAGCUAACCUGUUAGAAGUUUUCCUACAUCACAGUUGAAGUAUUAUUCUCAGGGUUUGCUGUUAAACUGCAAUGACUGUAAGUGAUAUCCAUGACUGUAAGUGUUAUUGUUACUGAUGCUGUAUAUAAUCACUUUUGCUAAUAAAGGCACUUUGCUGAACAAUUUAUAA